rnacentral:misc_RNA from 1 species
GAUGAAGAACGUAGCGAAAUGCGAUAAGUAAUGUGAAUUGCAGAAUUCAGUGAAUCAUCGAAUCUUUGAACGGACAUUGCGCCCGCCAGUAUUCUGGCGGGCAUGCCUGUUCGAGCGUCAUUACAACCCUCAGGCCCCCGGGCCUGGCGUUGGGGAUCGGCGGAAGCCCCCUGCGGGCACAACGCCGUCCCCCAAAUACAGUGGCGGUCCCGCCGCAGCUUCCAUUGCGUAGUAGCUAACACCUCGCAACUGGAGAGCGGCGCGGCCACGCCGUAAAACACCCAACUUCUGAAUGUUGACCUCGAAUCAGGUAGGAAUACCCGCUGAACUUAAGCAUAUCAAUAAGCGGAGGA